rnacentral:lncRNA from 1 species
AAUUCAAUUGUGAGAAUAUUUAAAAUCUAUAUCUCAUCAAAUAUUAGUUCUGUAAAUAUAUAUUUAACAGUUGAUUAGAAAUAUUAAUUUUUUUAGAAAAAGUAGAAAUUAUUAAUGAGUGUAAUGGUUCGAUUUGUCCCAACAUCAAGAAGACGUCCUUCCUUUGCAAAAUCCCUGAAUUAAACAAUUAAAAGUGAAGAUAUUCAGCUUCAGAUGGAAUUUGUCGCUCAUAAAGUUUCCCAACUCUAAAUAACCUUUCAUCAAUGUUUUAUAUAAGUUACCACAUUACACUUCUUCCCUUUCUUCGCCAUCAUUUCCACCACCUGAUCCUUCUUACAAUGUCCAUUCACAACAGCGGUGUAUGUCGAAGUAUUUGGCUCCAUCAAAUCCAACACCUUAAUUGCAUCAAAUCAAACAACUAUAGCUAACCACACAUGGGUUACUUAUAACAGCCCAAGCAACGUAUGAAUCAAGCAAUUAUAAGCAAUGACAAUGGACUUAAAUGGAGGAAAAGCAACAGUAAAGGGGUGUUACAGAAUUGUAAUAAUCACAUAUGACGCAACCAAAAACCUUGAUUAAUAUCACACUAGAUAGAUGAUAAUGUGAGAUAUGCUCGAGAUGUUGGUGUCAUUAUAUAUGGGACUUAAGAAGUGAAUAAAGAGUCUAGACUACAAUGAGAUAAAGAUAGGAGGGAGACUGCACCUGGGACAAAUAUAAAAACUAAACUGCAGCUGACCAUAGAUAGAACAAGACUUCAUCUGUGAAAAAGAUAAGGUUCAAACAACAUCUAACAGAGAUCACAGAAGCAAAUACAAUUAUCAGGUAAGAAAACAGUCAAGCCAAGAGAAGGUUUCAAACAAC